rnacentral:rRNA from 1 species
GAUGAACGCUAGCGGCAGGCUUAAUACAUGCAAGUCGAGGGGCAGCAUGGGGUGGUAGCAAUACACUCUGAUGGCGACCGGCAAACGGGUGCGGAACACGUACACAACUUACCCUGAUCUGGGAGAUAGCCCUCCGAAAGGAGGAUUAAUAUCCCAUAGGAUAGUGGAGCGGCAUCGCUCAGCUAUUAAAGCUCCGGCGGAUUGGGAUGGUGGCGGCUGAUUAGGUAGUUGGCGGGUAACGGCCACCAAGCUGCGAUCAGUAACUGGUGUGAGAGCACGACCAGUCACACGGGCACUGAGACACGGCCCAGACUCCUACGGGAGG